AAUUUAGUGACUUAGAAAAACAUGUACCCAUGCCUUUCAUGCUGUCCAUAAUACCACAGUGCUUUAAUGUCUACUUGGUUGUGUAAAAUUUUGAUAUACUUUAUGACAUCUGCACAGUACUAACCAGAGUGGCUGAGAUCAAUACAUUAAUAGUGUUGCAAAAGAAUAUACAUAUUUGAUGUUUUCUGAAAUAGUCUGCUUUAAGAGUAUUUUUAACUUUUUGCUUUACCGGAUGGUCUAUAUUGUAUUGCAUAGAUAUUAAUUAACCUUUUGCUGACUUGGAUGUGUGAGAAUUUAAUCACAGAAAUUCAUGUAGUGUCAGUUAAACCAAGUAACAUUUAUUUUGUACUUGAUCUCAGUUGAUUUGUCUAAGGGAAGGUUUUGUAGUCAAAUUGUGGGAUAUAGCAUAGUACUGCAGUAUCUACUAUGUGUAUUCCAGCAAGUUCAAAGCAGUCUCCACAACAUAGGAGAAUUCUUUUUGUUUGGCAAAAACAUUUGCAAAGUUUAAUUUUACAGGCAGAUAUUAUGUCCACUCCAGUUUAAGUUUUACACUAUUUGCUGAAAGGCUGUUUGUUUUGCCUUCUUUGAAACCUGCUAUUCUAUCACAAGAAGUGAUGAUCUGUAGUAUGCUGGCACUACUCAGAGGCAAACAGGCCCCAGUAUAUGGCGUAUUCUGAUGUGGAGAAAAAGAACUAGUCAAACACGUCUGCAUCCUCUGGUCUUUGGUUUAUGUUCUGAUUUAGUGAAACAUAAUCAACAGAGUUAGGAAGCUUAGGUUGGAUAUCAGAAGAUUUUUUUAAUUUUUUUUUUUUUUUUUACUGGAAGGAUUGUGUGGCAUUGGAAUAGGUUGCCCAGGAAAGUGGUUGAGUCACCAUCCCUGGAGGUCUUCAAGAAACACGUAGAUGUAGAACUUAGCAUGGAUUAGUGGUGGACUUCAGUUCUAAGUCAGGGGUUGGACUAGAUGAUCUCAGAGGUCUUUUCCAACCUGAAUGAUUCCAUGAUUCUAAAAACCUUGGCUCCUUACAGUUUACAUAGACACUUGGCAUGCUGUUGGGAUUGGUAUAUCAGAAGGUCACAUAGGCAAUACGUUCAGUAUUCUUUAAGAACAGCUUUUUAAAGAUAAUCAGUCUGAACAGUAGGUACUAGUAAAAUAGUAUUUCUUUCUUUCCUAAAGGAUGAAAGUCAGUUUUGAGGCAUUGAAACGAUUGUUGUGCACUCCACAAUUCUACAUCUUCAGUUUAAAAACCAAAACAAUACUUAUAUCCAUCUAAAUUCUUGUUUAUAGUCUUGCCAGACUAGCAGAAAAUACAGCUAUGUAAAAUGAGACUACAAAACAACACUGUUCUUAAAACUCACCCUCCUGAAGAUACUGGGAACAGCUAAUAGUAAAGGAAUUUCAAUAUGUAAAGGAAACUUACAUGUUCUGCUAUUGGCAGCUGUACUGUCAGAAAUAAUUACCAGUA